GAUGAACGCUGGCGGCGUGCCUAAUACAUGCAAGUCGAGCGAACGGACGAGAAGCUUGCUUCUCUGAUGUUAGCGGCGGACGGGUGAGUCACACGUGUAUAACCUACCUAUAAGACUGGGAUAAUUUCGGGAAACCGUAGCUAAUACCGGAUAAUAUUUUGAACCGCAUGGUUCAAAAGUGAAAGUCGGUCUUGCUGUCACUUAUAGAUGGAUCCGCGCUGCACUAGCUAGUUGGUAAGGUAACGGCUUACCAAGGCAACGAUGCAUAGCCGACCUGAGCGGGUGAUCGGCCACACGGGAACUGAGACACGGUCCAGACUCCUACGGGAGGCAGCAGUAGGGAAUCUUCCGCAAUGGGCGAAAGCCUGACGGAGCAACGCCGCGUGAGUGAUGAAGGUCUUCGGAUCGUAAAACUCUGUUAUUAGGGAAGAACAUAUGUGUAAGUAACUGUGCACAUCUUGACGGUACCUAAUCAGAAAGCCACGGCUAACUACGUG
rnacentral:rRNA from 1 species